CAGCAGCCGCGGGAAUACGUAGGGUGCAAGCGUUAAUCGGAAUUACUGGGCGUAAAGCGUGCGCAGGCGGUUUGUUAAGACAGAUGUGAAAUCCCCGGGCUUAACCUGGGAACUGCAUUUGUGACUGGCAAGCUAGAGUCUGGCAGAGGGGGGUGGAAUUCCGCGUGUAGCAGUGAAAUGCGUAGAUAUGCGGAGGAACACCGAUGGCGAAGGCAGCCCCCUGGGCCAACACUGACGCUCAUGCACGAAAGCGUGGGGAGCAAACAGGAUUAGAGACCCGCGUAGUCCCUGUCUCUUAUAC
rnacentral:rRNA from 1 species